UACAGUCAAGGUUCUGAAAAGCCUAAGACUGAAAAAACAAAGUUUUUAUGCGGUGAGUAAAAGAAUUCAGAGAGAAGGAUGGAAGCGAAGAGUUGAAGACGAGAGAGAGAGAGAGAGAGAGGGCACCUGAGAGCGUAGUUUUGUCAAUCUAGAAUAAGUUUAGGAAGAAAGUUAGCAUCCAAGAAAAUUGAGAAAAUAAAAAGAAACAUGACUGAAUGAUGAGGAUGCAACAACGAAAUCAUCCUCUACCCAUCCGGACACAAUCAGUUCCCUCGUAAGAUCAUGUACUCUUUACUUUCAACUUUGACAUCGGCACUGAAUGUGUUGAUAGGAGGAUCGUCUAUCAAUUGACUAGCUCGUUGAAGUAGGGCUCUGCAAAUUUCUCUGCAGUCAUGUCACGGUGAUCACUAAUGAGUUCUUCAGCUAUCAAUAGACUCUGGACACGUUUGCGCCAGAUAAAACAGUCUGCAGUUUUUAGGAAAUUUACUCAGAUAUAAGAAGCAACGUUUGACUAUAGCUAAAAAAUAAGUGUUUCUUUCCAUUCCCUCUGGAUGUGAAUUACUUUGCAGUUUCGAAACCUAGAGGGAUCUUCAGAACUGCAAAGUAAUCCAGAUCUAGAAAGAAUAAAAGAAACACUUUUAGUGAUCUGCCUCAAAAGCUGCUGCUUAUAUCUUAGUAAAUUUCCUGAAGACUGUGGACUGUUUGAUCAAACGUAAACAUGUUCAAAUUCUAUGGAUAACUGAAAUACCCAUCAGCGAUUGACGUGAGAUGACUGAAGAGGAGGUUGCAGGGUCAUAUUUCAACGAGCUUCUCCAUCGCCACAAGAUACUCCUUGGCAAAUUUUAAGGUCCGAGAGUAAAUGAUCUUAUUGGAACUACCUGUUUCCAAAUAGAUAGAGGAUAGUUUUGUUUCUAGUCCAGACAGAGCUGCAACAACCAAAUCAUCGUCGUUAGAGCUUUCUUCGGCAACGACAUUUCAUCCUUUCUUCAGCCAUGGCUCGUGCGCGGGUAUCGGUGUUCUCUCGCUCUCUCUCAGAGGGGACUUGAAGGGUUUCAUUAAUGAUCACGUUGCUACCCGCUCCUCCAGUGCGGUUGAGCACGGCCUGUCGUGUAGUCUGUGCUGCCGGAAGUAGAGGUCCACAAGAAAGCCGGUUGAUGAAUGAUGCUUCGAGGAUAUUCACUGUUCCUGCUAACUUGGCCUCAGAGGACCACACUGCUUAUUUCUGCGGUGCAGUGGGGGAGAGCGUGCUUCUAUUGUAAGCCGAAGGAAUACGAGUUGCUCUGGAACGAAAUUUGUCAACGAUUUUUGAACCAAAUUAUCUCGAAGGUAACUAAUAAUGUUAAUGCGGUGAGGAGCGCGCUUUAGUUGUCGAUCACCUGCCAACUUUAAGCCUCUGUUUCUUUUUGUUGGUCAUGUAAUGGAUGUUGGAUUAUUGGAAUAAGUGAUGUUGAAUGAUUUUGUUUCUACAUUUAUAAUGGUAUUAUUUUUGU